GCUCUAUAUUGUAAAAAAUAACAAAAACCCUGAAGUGGUAAUAUCGUAGGCAAUAAUAAUGGAAUAACCGAGGUAUGAAUGAACAGUUUUGAGCACUAAAACACACUAAGGGCUUUGUUAUGGACUGAAAUGUGUCCUCUCCCCAGAGUCACAGGAUUAUGAAGCCAUAAUCCUCAAUGUGACUAUAUUUGGAGCAGGGGCCUUUACAGACAUAAUUAAAUUAAAUGAGGUCAUAAGAGUGGGGCCCUAGUCUGAUAGGACUGGUGUCCUUACAAGAAGAGGGAGAGUCCUCAGAGAGUCCUCUCUCUCGGCAUGGACACAAAAGAAAAGCCAUGUGAGGACACAGAGAGAAGGUGGCUGUCUACGAGCUAGGAAGAAAGGCCUCACCGGAAACCAACCCUCACAGCAGCUCCAUCUUGGACUUCCAGCCUCCGGAACUAGCUCACCAGCCUGAGGUAGGAAUCAUUCCAUCUGUGUUACUAAUGAGACCGCUGAGGAUCAAAGGGGUUUUCCACCACAUCCACUCACCUCUACAUGGCGAAAACCAAGGGUUCACUCUCUGUCUUCAGGGAGCUCCACCCAGCAGCAGCGUUUGACAGAGCUGUUCACUUCCUCUUCCUGGAGCUGUGGCUUCCAGAGCCCAUGCUCAGCAGUUCCCCUCCUUCUUCGACUGCUCCUCUCUUAGGCUCAGAGCCACUCAGACAUUGGGAAGCAAGUUUGUCAAGAUGACAGAGAACCGAGGUAAUGGAUUCGAGUGAUGAAACAGGAAGUUCAUUCAUGAGUUUUUGGCCACACCUCCAAAGUGACGACUUAGCCAGAAAUGGGAUAACUGGGUUUCCCUACUUCUCUUUUAUCAUCCUCAAUGAGAGUGACCAAAUAUUAGAGCUAGAUGGAACCUUAGUGAAAAUCUGGCUACUCGUCCCGUCCCACCAGCCUGCCACCCAUUUCAAGUUUGAAGAGACAAAGACACAUGGACCUUAUGUAAUUACUGGGGAUUACCCCAGGAGUCUGUGGCAAAAGUCAGCUUCUUCCCUCCCUGCUUCCCCGCCCUGUCUCUGGUACUUUCUACCAACACUGGGCUGUUUCUGUGAUCACACUUAAGCGUACCUAACCUGCGAAUGCUGUAUAGAAGGUGCUAAUGAACAUGAUUUAGCUUUAACACUCAGUUUUCUAAAGGGACACGUGGGGGCAGCAAAUGUUUAGGCAAAAACAAUUCCAGUUCUAGCCUCUACUGUCUACAUAUGUGUAUACAUUUGGGAAACGUUUGGGAAAGGGAUAUUUGAGAGCUUCUUUUUCUUUUUUGUGGUUUAGUUAUUUGAUGAUAUUGAGAUUGUUUCUGAGCCAUGUGCUUCAACAUCGGAUUGGGGAUUUCAGAAAAAGUUUUAGUCACUGUGAUUCCAUUUAGCUUCCAAAUGUGUCUCUGCUAAGAGACUUAAAAGCACUCAUAAAUAGCACGUGUGUCUUCUUUGCAGUGUUUGCUAAUUUUGAGUCACAUCUUUUUAGAAAAUCAUGAGAUUUGGUGUCACAGAGACUGGAAUAAAUAUAGUCAAACUUAUUGGUGAAGAUUUCCUUUAGCUGUUUUCAUAAUCCAUUUCCAUUGUUAUGAUUAUUGAUGAAUAAAACAUUUUCUUUAGGUAGAUACUUCUUUUUUCCCCCCACCUUGAUUUAAUGUUUCCACUCUUAUUGUCAAGUUUCUUAUUACUCCCUAAUAACUCUCAAUAAAAUAAUGAUUCCUGGGAGAUUAUUCCUGCUUUCCUACUAUCACCUGUUGAUUUGAAAAGACAGAACAAUACCGUAGAAGCUUCACUAAUACAUUGAAAGAUAAAAUGAUAAUACUAAAUACUAAAAUAUGAAAAGUGAUACUAAAAGUGGAGUCCUGGCACUAGUAUUUUUUUUUUUGAGUCUUUAAAUUUUAUUUAUUUAUUUUUGAAUUUUUUAAAAUUAUAUGUUAUGUUCUGGGAUACAUGUGCAGAACGUGCAGGUUUGUUACAUAGGUAUACAGGUCUGGCACUAGUAUUUUGUUGCCACAAAAUAUCAAGCAUGUAUCCAAACUGCUCAAGACACAUUAAAGACACAGGUAAUCUGUAGGCAUAUUCAGGCUUGUAGUUUGCAUUUUUUGGUUUUCUUGUGGCUUUCAGUGCAAGUUGAGGUAAUUCAUGGGAAACAGUCACCAAAGAAGUGCCAGUAUUAGAAAUCCAAGAGCCAUUUCUCUAGCUUCUUCCAGAAUCAAGACUUUAGAGGUAAUUUCUAUCAACACUGGACAUUUCCUGUCUGCAAUUAACAAUGAACACAUAGCAUUAUGUUUAAUUGCAACCUGUUUAAAGCAGAUUGGAUGCUAAGGUUUAAGAACACUCUUCAGUCAAAAAGGUCUUUUAAUCAGGUUUUUAAUCUUGAGCACAAUCUAGGACACAGCAUCAUAGACUAACUCAUUCGAGAAUAGGUGUUGUCAUCUAAUCCUAACCACCCCCACCACCAACAAGCUGAAUAGCUCUGGGCUCAGUAUAUACAUUUGUACUGGGCUCAGUACACACACCUAAGCUGGGUUCAGUAUAUGCCACUUUAUAGUGAGAGGCAUUUUGUAAUGAGAGCUCUGGGUUCACUAUAUACAUUUGUACUGGGCUCAGUACACACAUCUAAGCUGGGUUCAGUAUAUGCCACUUUAUAGUGAGGGCCAUUUUGUAAUGAGAGCUCUAAGGCUCUAAAAUUCUGUGUUUCUGCUAGUUUCUUCCUCAAGAUAAAACUGUGGAACUCAUAGUGAAUUCCCUCUCUUUGGGCAGUUUGAGCCAGGCCGCUAUUUAAUCACAACAUCACAAGUCAGAUUUUUCCUACCUAGUGUUGGCAGUGGAACACACCAGAACUGCUAAGGCCAAGGAAAUCCCAUUUUUUGAAGAGGCUUUCCUUUGUUAGCUUCUCUUUCUAGUAGUAAAGGUAAAAGAAAAAUAGAUGUUAAAGAUAUAAAUAUCUUAGGGGGUUUUUAUUGGUAUAAAUAUUUGUACACAAAAAGAAUAUGUAAUGUAAACUGGAUAUGUAUUUUUUACAUUUUACUUAACCUGAAUUUUACACAAUCUUUGCUUGAAUGCUCC
rnacentral:lncRNA from 1 species